rnacentral:rRNA from 1 species
UGGGGAAUUUUGGACAAUGGGCGAAAGCCUGAUCCAGCAAUGCCGCGUGUGUGAAGAAGGCCUUCGGGUUGUAAAGCACUUUUGUCCGGAAAGAAAUCCUUGGCUCUAAUACAGUCGGGGGAUGACGGUACCGGAAGAAUAAGCACCGGCUAACUACGUGCCAGCAGCCGCGGUAAUACGUAGGGUGCAAGCGUUAAUCGGAAUUACUGGGCGUAAAGCGUGCGCAGGCGGUUUGCUAAGACCGAUGUGAAAUCCCCGGGCUCAACCUGGGAACUGCAUUGGUGACUGGCAGGCUAGAGUAUGGCAGAGGGGGGUAGAAUUCCACGUGUAGCAGUGAAAUGCGUAGAGAUGUGGAGGAAUACCGAUGGCGAAGGCAGCCCCCUGGGCCAAUACUGACGCUCAUGCACGAAAGCGUGGGGAGCAAACAGGAUUAGAUACCCUGGUAGUCCACGCCCUAAACGAUGUCAACUAGUUGUUGGGGAUUCAUUUCCUUAGUAACGUAGCUAACGCGUGAAGUUGACCGCCUGGGGAGUACGGUCGCAAGAUUAAAACUCAAAUGAAUUGACGGGGUC